AUAAUACUCCAUAGAUUAGAGACACUGGAAUGUUCUUUAGUCGAAAGUUCUGGCGCCUUAGGAUGGAUCUGCGGUCGAUUAGGUUGUUGGGGUAACGGCCCAACAAGCCUGUAAUCGAUACGGGUUGUGGGAGCAAGAGCCCGGAGAUGGAAUCUGAGACACGAUUCCAGGCCCUACGGGGCGCAGCAGGCGCGAAAACUUUACAAUGCAGGAAACUGUGAUAAGGGAACUCCGAGUGCCCGUAUACGCGGGCUGUCCAGGUGUUUAAAAAUCAUCUGAAGAAAGGGCCGGGCAAGACCGGUGCCAGCCGCCGCGGUAAUACCGGCGGCUCGAGUGGUGGCCACUAUUAUUGGGCUUAAAGCGUCCGUAGCUGGACCGAUAAGUCUCUUGGGAAAUCCGCCGGCUCAACCGGCGGGCGUCUAAGGGAUACUGUUAGUCUAGGGACCGGGAGAGGUGAGAGGUACUCCGGGGGUAGGAGUGAAAUCCUGUAAUCCCCGGGGGACCACCGAUGGCGAAGGCAUCUCACCAGAACGGCUCCGACAGUGAGGGACGAAAGCUGGGGGAGCGAACCGGAUUAAAUACCCGGGUAGUCCCAGCCGUAAACUAUGCGCGUUAGGUGU
rnacentral:rRNA from 1 species